GACGAACCGUGCGAACGUUGUUCGGAAUCACUGGGCUUAAAGGGAGCGUAGGCGGGCUAUCAAGUCUGGGGUGAAAUGUCGCGGCUCAACCGUGGAACUGCCUUAGAUACUGACGGCCUCGAGGGAGAUAGGGGCAUGCGGAACUGUAGGUGGAGCGGUGAAAUGCGUUGAUAUCUACAGGAACUCCGGUGGCGAAAGCGGCGUGCUGGAUCUCUUCUGACGCUGAGGCUCGAAAGCUAGGGGAGCAAACGGG
rnacentral:rRNA from 1 species